UGGAAGUGUGUCCGAAGGGUAAGGGGGAAGUCUUGAAAACUUCUUAAACCGGUGAUGAAUCGGUGUGCAGGUUCGAAUCCUGUCACUUCCAU
rnacentral:tRNA from 1 species